GUUUUCUUUACGUUUUAGGCAGUUGCAUCUGCUGCAGUGGAUUGCUCUUCUGGAAUUUUUCCUCUUACAAAAUUAUAAAAAGCUUUGAAAAAAAAAUAAAACUGAAGUCCCCAAAGAUUAGUCCACUUCUCUCUACAACUAUUGUUUAAGCCACUGACAGACUCCAGGUGCCUGAGGGAUACUGCUAUCUUCAGCCUGGAGCCUCAUCUGGCAUGCUCUGCAACUUUUUUUGAAGAGGAAUUCGGCUGCAGAUUUAGCUAAGGACUUCAGAGCCUUGAAGAGCUCAGCACACAAGAACAAGAUGCCUACAGCACACAGACUUCCUCCUGAUGCCAUGCAGAGGUGUUGGCCUGCCUUUCUUCAGGUUUUGAGCCACAUCCAGAGGAGCCUCCUUGCUUUUAAUCUCCCAAGUCCUCUUUGUUGUUUUUUUCUAAUUUAUUUCCCCUUCAUUUCAGGCCUUUCGGUUUGUUGAUUAAUGCCAUAAAGGCAGCCUGUGCUGCUUCUGGAAAUGCAGUUUGUCAUCUCUGUCAGCACUCAGCUCCAUAUGUUGCUACUUCAUAAGCAACAUACCAGGAUGCGAGGCAAUAUAAAUGAGCCAGGCUUCACCGGACUGUAUGCAGUUUACAUUUCAUCUUUUAUAAUCAAAGGCGUGAUUUUCCACUCACAUUUUUCACAGGAUGCAUAAUUACUGUGUAAUUUCUGUUUUUCAUGAUUUACUGUGCACGCUAAAUUGAGGUAACUUAAUAGGCUUCAAGAGAAGCACAGUUUAAUGGUCAAUCUGAUCUGACAAAAUAGUUGUAUACACUUUAUAGCAUCUUUCAUCUAAAGAGUACAAAUAAUAUACCUAUUAGCCUACCCAGAAGCAUUUGAAAAUCAUAGGGACAACUGGGGAGAAAAGGAGUGGAACUGUUUAAUGGCCUUAAAGCAGAAUAAAGAGAAAGACUUUCUCUCA